CCCUAGUUUUGUAUGUUCCCUUGGGUUUGUACAGGUAGUUGAGACACACACUGUCCCCCUCCCGCCUGGCCCCUGUGUGUGCAUGCGG